ensembl:lncRNA
AUGGAGCAGAAGACAAUCGUUCUUUUGUCUUUGUUUUUUUUUAAAGGAUCGAAGGAGUCGUACCUUCAGAGACAAGAGGAAUUCGCCGUGUCACAUCGAAGGAAGCGGCGGCUCCUCGGAGCUGCAGGUCCCGACCUCCGAGCGCUUUCUGUGCGUGUGGACCUCAGCCACUGGAUGAUAAGACGAGCGAAGGGGGAAAAAAAACACCAAAAAACAAAAGUCCCCAGCGUCGGUGGAGUGAUGAGCACGGGGCUGAUGUCGGCGGGGCGGCAGAUGCGUCCUCCAGCAAGAAAUGCCUUGUUCCCUGACUACUUUCCCCGACACACGUCUUGUCAGUCACAUGCGAAAUAUUCCACGUCCAAUUCCAUACUCGCAGAAGUGGAAGAAGAAAAAAAACCAACACUCCACGGGCGACGAACACGAGCUCCAACAAUCACAACAGCAGCGCCACUAAUAACAAUGCCGACAUCUCUGGAGGAUGUGCUCAGGGCAGCACUCACGCACACACACACACACACACACACACACACACGAACACACACACACACACACCCGAACACACACACACACACACACACACACACACACAGUUCUAUUCGCCGCUUGUCUGGAGUUUGUUCGAACAGUCUCGACUCGUCAACCAACGCCGCCCUGCAAAAUAAAGCAGUCCUACGCAAACAUCAUCAUCAGCAUCACCAGCAUCGUCGUCGCGAGCAGCCUCGGCAGCGUGUGCGUCGGAGGAGCAGGAGCAGGAGGAGGAGACAGGAGGAGGAGGAGGAGACAGGAGGAGGAGGAGGAGGAGGAGGAGGAGACAGGAGGAGGAGACAGGAGGAGGAGCAACAGGAGGAGGAGGAGACAGGAGGAGGAGGACACAGGAGCAGGAGGAGCAGGAGCAGGAGGAGGAGGAGGAGGAGACAGGAGGAGGAGGAGGAGACAGGAGGAGGAGGACACAGGAGCAGGAGGAGCAGGAGCAGGAGGAGGAGGAGGAGGAGACAGGAGGAGGAGACAGGAGGAGGAGGAGGAGGAGGAGACAGGAGGAGGAGACAGGAGGAGGAGGAGGAGACAGGAGGAGGAGGACACAGGAGGAGGAGGAGGAGGAGGAGGAGGAGACAGGAGGAGGAGGAGGAGACAGGAGGAGGAGGAGGAGGAGGAGGAGGAGACAGGAGGAGGAGACAGGAGGAGGAGACAGGAGGAGGAGGACACAGGAGGAGGAGACAGGAGGAGGAGACAGGAGGAGGAGGAGGAGACAGGAGGAGGAGGAGACAGGAGGAGGAGGAGACAGGAGCAGGAGCAGGAGGAGGAGGAGGAGACAGGAGGAGGAGGACACAGGAGGAGGAGACAGGAGGAGGAGGAGACAGGAGGAGGAGGAGGAGACAGGAGCAGGAGCAGGAGGAGGAGGAGGAGACAGGAGGAGGAGGACACAGGAGGAGGAGACAGGAGGAGGAGGAGGAGACAGGAGGAGGAGGACACAGGAGGAGGAGGAGGAGACAGGAGGAGGAGGAGACAGGAGGAGGAGGAGGAGACAGGAGCAGGAGCAGGAGGAGGAGGAGGAGACAGGAGGAGGAGGACACAGGAGGAGGAGGAGGAGACAGGAGGAGGAGGACACAGGAGGAGGAGGAGGAGGAGGAGGAGACAGGAGGAGGAGCAACAGGAGGAGGAGGAGACAGGAGGAGGAGACAGGACCAUAGAAACUCUCCACGUCUCCAUCCGAGCAACCAGUUUGGCCCGCGUCUGUCUGGGGGAGGUCGAGGUCAGGUGUUCUGUUGUUGCGGUGCUGCUCCUGGAGUCUUAUUUGCACGCCCCCCUUUUUUAUCUAGGCGAUCUCCUCCCUCUGCGCUGUGUUUCUCUCAUUGUGUCCCUGGAAAUAUUGGCUAUGUAUAUAUAUAUAUAUGUGUGAUGCACGGUUGUUGGGACCUCCGUGUGGAGGAGACGGAGUGA